UGCGCCUACGUGGGAUUAGCUAGUUGGUGAGGUAAUGGCUCACCAAGGCGACGAUCCCUAGCUGGUUUGAGAGGAUGAUCAGCCACACUGGAACUGAGACACGGUCCAGACUCCUACGGGAGGCAGCAGUGGGGAAUAUUGGACAAUGGGCGCAAGCCUGAUCCAGCCAUGCCGCGUGUGUGAAGAAGGCCUUCGGGUUGUAAAGCACUUUCAGUUGGGAGGAAGCGUUGUGUGUUAAUAGUACACAGCGUUGACGUUACCAACAGAAGAAGCACCGGCUAACUCUGUGCCAGCAGCCGCGGUAAUACAGAGGGUGCAAGCGUUAAUCGGAAUUACUGGGCGUAAAGCGCACGUAGGCGGUUUUUUAAGUCAGAUGUGAAAGCCCCGGGCUCAACCUGGGAAUUGCAUUUGAAACUGGAAAACUAGAGUGUGUGAGAGGGGGGUAGAAUUCCAAGUGUAGCGGUGAAAUGCGUAGAGAUUUGGAGGAAUACCAGUGGCGAAGGCGGCCCCCUGGCACAACACUGACGCUCAGUGUGCGAAAGCGUGGGGAGCAAAGAGGANNAGAUACCCUGGUAGUCCACGCCGUAAACGAUGUCUACAAAACAUGUUCGUGACCUUGUGUCGUGAGUAGCGCAGCUAACGCACUAAGUAGACCGCCUGGGGAGUACGGUCGCAAGAUUAAAACUCAAAUGAAUUGACGGGGGCCCGCACAAGCGGUGGAGCAUGUGGUUUAAUUCGACGCAACGCGAAGAACCUUACCUACUCUUGACAUCCAGAGAAGACUGCAGAGAUGCGGUUGUGCCUUCGGGAACUCUGAGACAGGUGCUGCAUGGCUGUCGUCAGCUCGUGUUGUGAAAUGUUGGGUUAAGUCCCGCAACGAGCGCAACCCUUAUCCUUAGUUGCCAGCACGUAAUGGUGGGAACUCUAGGGAGACUGCCGGUGAUAAACCGGAGGAAGGUGGGGACGACGUCAAGUCAUCAUGGCCCUUACGAGUAGGGCUACACACGUGCUACAAUGGUAUGUACAGAGGGAGGCAAGCUGGCGACAGUGAGCGGAUCUCUUAAAGCAUAUCGUAGUCCGGAUCGCAGUCUGCAACUCGACUGCGUGAAGUCGGAAUCGCUAGUAAUCGCAUAUCAAAAUGUUGCGGUGAAUACGUUCCCGGCCCUUGUACA
rnacentral:rRNA from 1 species